UCCGUACGGUAGCUUUAUAUUUUUGCUCUCGUCAGUUUAACACGCUAUUCAAUCGUACUUUGUAUUAAAUUGGUUAGAGUGAGUGAGUUUAUGAUUAUGAUUUAUCAUAGCUAUGGUUAUCAUACCAAUAACUUUGUUAGUUAGAACUUUUUAUCGAUAAAUAUUAAUAUCAAGAACAACAAAAUAAUGUUGUCUGAAAUUAAGAGGGAAUGGACUUUUAUUAUGUGCUACUGAACUUUAUUCCCAUGUUAUUUGCAUUGUCUUUAAAAAGGCAUUUUUUUGACUUAUACUAUUAAAUAAAUUUCAAGAGUUUAUAAGUACUUCGGAUCUGUGGCGCUGAAUGUGAUUUUGUGGACUAAGAUAUUUCAGUUUCGAUCUGUUUAUUGAAUAAUAUAUGGGUGACAGUUCCAUUUAUUCAAUAUUGUACAACUCGAACAUGAAGCGGAGAGAGUAGGCUAUAUGCCACAUGACAAACCCGAAUAUUGGUCAACGUAAAUCAUCUCUACUAAUUUUCUAUUUAGAUAAAAAAAAAGCUCUGAUAUCAAGAAAACAAUUUAUUAAGCGAUUCUAACAAAGCUUACAGUUUUCUUUUGUGAAUUAUUAUAAAAAAAAAGCUGAUUGAAAAUAUUUUCCUGGACAUCAAUUGGUCUGUUUAUUGAAAAGAACUAUACCAAAAUGCACACUUGAAAUAAGUUUUCGAAUGCCUUAUGACAUCACCAUAUCGAAGAGGAAGUCAAUAGCAUACAAAAAUAAAGUGCAAUAAGAAAACUAAAAAACAAUACGAGAAAAGAUUCAAUGGUUUUGAUAUAGAUGGAGCUUUCGUGGCUAUACGGGGUAAUUGGCCCUUGGAUCUGUUCCUUAAAUGAUCUGCAAGUUUUAGAAAGACCUGUUUGUUUGUUUUUUUUUACGUCAAACUUGAUUGAAAAUUCAAUAAGAGACGUGUGGGAGGCCCAAAGUGUGGCCCCUCGAAACGUAUCUAACCCUGGCGAGCGCAAUGUGGCAAAGUGGCGGAAUGGGCGCCCACGCCGUCAACAAUCCAUGGAUGAAGUUAAUGGGCAUAAUGCACAAAGACAGAAGACAUCACGAGUCUGGUGGAACUUCAAGUGGACAAGGACAGAUGAUGGUCGGCACAAAUGACCGGGGACAAGCUCAAUCCCUGCCAAAGUUAAGCAGCCAAGACGAUGAUGGACCAAAUUCUCACACCCAUUAUAUAGGAGUGGCACAUUUUGAACCUAUACCACACGAUCAUGAUUUCUGUGGGAGAGUCGUCAUAAAUGUAAGUGGAUUGCGGUUCGAGACUCAACUGCGUACGCUUAACCAGUUUCCAGAUACGUUACUCGGAGAUCCUUCGAGACGUCUUCGAUAUUUUGAUCCAUUGCGCAACGAAUACUUUUUCGAUCGAAAUCGUCCCUCUUUUGAUGCGAUACUUUAUUACUAUCAAAGUGGAGGACGACUUCGUCGGCCAGUUAAUGUGCCACUUGAUGUCUUCUCAGAAGAAAUUAAAUUUUAUGAAUUGGGAGAAUUGGCCACUAACAAAUUCAGAGAGGACGAAGGAUUUAUCAAGGAAGAAGAGAAGCCACUACCUUCACAUGAAUUACAAAGGAAAGUUUGGCUUCUGUUUGAAUAUCCUGAAAGCUCACAAGGCGCCCGAGUAGUCGCUAUUAUCUCGGUAUUUGUGAUACUUUUGUCAAUCGUUAUUUUUUGUUUGGAAACUCUUCCUGAGUUUAAACAUUACAAAGUGUUCAAUACGACAACAAAUGGCACCAAAAUCGAAGAAGAUGAAGUGCCAGAUAUUACAGAUCCGUUCUUCCUGAUAGAAACUAUUUGUAUUAUAUGGUUCACAUUUGAAUUAUCAGUGCGCUUCCUUGCUUGUCCGAAUAAACUCAAUUUUUUCCGUGAUCUUAUGAAUUUCAUUGAUAUAAUCGCCAUUAUUCCAUACUUUAUUACCUUAGGGACCGUAAUUGCUGGAAAAGAGCAUGAAUUCGAUUUACCAAAAGCACCAGUGAGUCCACAAGACAAAAGUACUAAUCAAGCUAUGUCACUAGCAAUUUUAAGGGUGAUUAGACUUGUUAGAGUGUUUCGAAUUUUUAAGCUAUCUAGACAUAGCAAGGGCCUUCAAAUACUUGGAAGAACUUUAAAAGCUUCAAUGCGAGAACUUGGUCUGCUCAUAUUUUUCCUCUUUAUUGGUGUGGUGCUAUUUUCCUCAGCAGUUUACUUUGCCGAGGCGGGUUCCGAAAAUUCAUUCUUCAAAUCAAUUCCAGAUGCAUUCUGGUGGGCUGUCGUUACAAUGACCACCGUGGGCUAUGGUGACAUGACCCCAGUCGGUGUCUGGGGAAAAAUCGUAGGAUCGCUAUGUGCAAUCGCCGGCGUACUCACCAUAGCUUUGCCAGUUCCAGUUAUUGUCUCUAAUUUUAACUAUUUUUAUCAUCGUGAAACUGAUCAAGAGGAAAUGCAAUCACAAAAUUUCAAUCAUGUGACUAGCUGUCCAUAUCUUCCUGGAACUUUAGGCCAGCAUAUUAAAAAGAGUUCUAUGUCAGAGUCAUCAUCAGAUAUAAUGGAGUUGGAAGAAACGAUAUUAUUAGCACACGCAGAGGUUACAAGAAAGUCUAAUUGCAAUUCAAGCUACAAUAAUACAAAUUCAGUUUGUAUGGGCAUAGAAACUGAUGUUUGACUACAAGUCAAAAAGAUGGUCGCUUCCGAGCCAUACCUAUGCGUCACCAUCGUUGAGUUCAUUUCAAAGGAACAUCAGCUUAUUACUGCGAUCAACGUAAAAUCUUCUGAUUUCAAAAGCUAGACGAUUGAAUACCAAAUUAAGAAAUUUCAUAAGAAUUAGUGUUAUGCAGGUGCUAAGAUAAAAGCAUGAAAUUAAGUGUAACAGGCAACUAAAAACUCCUGAUCCCAUGAAGUUCAUAUUUGAGGAUAUCUAUGCAUAAAAAAUUUUUAUUUAUUGAUUUUAAAACCCCACGCCACCGACUCCAGUGUUCAACUUAAAUUCUUUUAUUUCUGAUCUUUCGUUUACGGAUAACGAAGUUCAGAAGUGGAUAAUACAACGUAAAAAUAAAAUGUCUUAGGGGUCACGAAUGGAGAGAGAAUCGAUGUAUUUUAUUAACAGAUGUUUUACUUGAACAGAAGCUUUUAAAGUGAAUAACGUAAUGCGACUAAUUUCAAGACCGAGUGCAUCACUAAUCAUUUACGAUCGAUAGAAACUCAAUACUUUUAAAAAUUA